UUGUGAGGUUAAGCGACUAAGCGUACACGGUGGAUGCCCUGGCAGUCAGAGGCGAUGAAGGACGUGCUAAUCUGCGAUAAGCGUCGGUGAGGUGAUAUGAACCGUUAUAACCGGCGAUUUCCGAAUGGGGAAACCCAGUGUGUUUCGACACACUAUCAUUAACUGAAUCCAUAGGUUAAUGAGGCGAACCGGGGGAACUGAAACAUCUAAGUACCCCGAGGAAAAGAAAUCAACCGAGAUUCCCCCAGUAGCGGCGAGCGAACGGGGAGGAGCCCAGAGCCUGAAUCAGUGUGUGUGUUAGUGGAAGCGUCUGGAAAGGCGCGCGAUACAGGGUGACAGCCCCGUACACAAAAAUGCACAUAUUGUGAGCUCGAUGAGUAGGGCGGGACACGUGGUAUCCUGUCUGAAUAUGGGGGGACCAUCCUCCAAGGCUAAAUACUCCUGACUGACCGAUAGUGAACCAGUACCGUGAGGGAAAGGCGAAAAGAACCCCGGCGAGGGGAGUGAAAAAGAACCUGAAACCGUGUACG
rnacentral:rRNA from 1 species